AUUGAACGCUGGCGGCAGGCCUAACACAUGCAAGUCGAGCGGAUGACGGGAGCUUGCUCCUUGAUUCAGCGGCGGACGGGUGAGUAAUGCCUAGGAAUCUGCCUGGUAGUGGGGGACAACGUUUCGAAAGGAACGCUAAUACCGCAUACGUCCUACGGGAGAAAGCAGGGGACCUUCGGGCCUUGCGCUAUCAGAUGAGCCUAGGUCGGAUUAGCUAGUUGGUGAGGUAAUGGCUCACCAAGGCAACGAUCCGUAACUGGUCUGAGAGGAUGAUCAGUCACACUGGAACUGAGACACGGUCCAGACUCCUACGGGAGGCAGCAGUGGGGAAUAUUGGACAAUGGGCGAAAGCCUGAUCCAGCCAUGCCGCGUGUGUGAAGAAGGUCUUCGGAUUGUAAAGCACUUUAAGUUGGGAGGAAGGGCAGUAAGUUAAUACCUUGCUGUUUUGGCGUUACCGACAGAAUGAGCACCGGCUAACUCUGUGCCAGCAGCCGCCGCCG
rnacentral:rRNA from 1 species